GCAGGAGUGCAGUCAUAGACAGUACUCGUGUGACUGAUUUGUGUCGUAGUGUGAUCUGCGGUGGUCCCUUUGCUCAGGUAGGAUUGCAUUACCUGGACUUCCUCAACCCUAGUCACAUGCUCCACUCAUUGUCGGUGUUUGCAUCGGGCUGCAGGUGUGGAAUUAGAACGGUCAGACAAGACAAUCCAGCUGUUUGGGUGUUCUGCUCGGGCUUUACGUUGACUCCUUGUUUAAAUUUUGCACAUGCAUUUAUAUGUUGGGACUAAAUUUGGCCAAAAUCUCCUUUUUAUGAGGGGGGAAUACAAAGAUUUAUUAAAUUAAAUUUGGUCCAAAGUGAAGCCUUUACCCAUUUGGAUUCUUGUUCUUCAGUUUGUCGGGUGUGUCGUUCUAAUUCUGUGCUGAAAACUUGUAAGCUAAAACGAACAAUGUCAUUGCAUCAUACCACAUACUUAGUUUAAUUGGCAACACAUGGUUUUUUUUGGAGCUGUUGCCAUUUUUUUUUUAAAUGGUAUGAAUGUCAAGCAGCCUGACCUCAGGUAAACUUGCUUUUGCACUUUAAUUACAGCAGCCUGUGAGGCCUGUCAGCGAAACUGUUGUAGCCAUUGUCUUUGUAGCAGAUGAAUGACAUGGUAAACAGAUAAGAAAGACUUAACAAGUCUGGAAAAGAGGACAGCACGGGCUUAUAUAUAAAUAUGUAUGUGGGAGGUGGGCGGGGGUGUUUAAGGGAGGGUUUGUGAGCUGUCAGCCCCCUCGUCAGUUUGCGACGAGGGGCGAGGCCCUUCUCACAGCUCCUUGUGUCUAGCCUUUCUCCCAUAGGAAUGACAGCCGAGGCUGUGGCUGCCGUGCGUCACCCUGCCCUGGGGAGGCAAUGGAGGGACACACCUCACACACAGUCGGCUCUGAGGGCCCUCGCGUAGUCUGCCCACUGCUCAGGCUAAUCGGGAUGAGCAGCAGGGGGCUAUAGCCACUGCCCGGAGGUGUUCAGUUGUGUCCCGCUAGGACCUACACGCCGGCUGGUAACCCACCUCAUAGUGUCUUUCUCUGUAGUCCAGCACCACCUCAAAAACUAAUGUUCCACAUGUUAGGGCGAAGACAUCAGUAGCCGAGGCCAAAAGCAUCAUUCAGAUACAUUAAGUAAAUGCACUGUUUUUCCAAAAUUCUACUUUUUCUUUUUUUUUUUUAUUAACGUCUCUGUAACAAACCGGGCUUGUGAAAGUAAGGGUUUGUAUUUUGAGACCGCUUCGUCGCUAAAUGCCUCUUUUGUUCAUUGUCAGUGCGGACACCUCGCAUUUUCAGUGGCCGACAAACGCACUGAGACAGCAACACAUUCUUUGACCUUCCCCCCCCCCCGCCGCCGCCGUGCUCCAACAUCAGAUUUGCAAAAAUUCCAAGCAGCUGUAAUCCUCCGGCAGUCAACUCAAAUUUAGGUGCCGAGGAGGCGUUUACAACUAUACUCAUUACCGUAAAGGUUUAGUGUGUAUCCAAGAGCUCCUCAGUCAUUAUCGUCAUCAGGUGCAUUGUUUUCUUUAAGUCACCAAACUUCUAAGAGAGCAUGUCAGAUAGUGUGUUGCUGUACAUUUGCUUUGGCACUGUACUUUGCCAAGUGUCUCUUUGUAUUUCCUGUCUUUGUCUACUUUUUUUUUUAACAUGUCUUCAAAACAUACCUCUGACUUUACUCCGUGCAUGCAUCCAUCCAGAACAAACAUUCCCCGAAAAGCCAGCUCGACUCCACUCAUGUGUGUGUGUGUGUGUGUUCAGUGUGUUGCAUGUUGCUUUGCAUAAUUUUCAUCCCACUUAAUGUUACCCAGCUGCCUUUCUGUGGUUUCCUUUAAAAAGGGCCGAUAACUCGACCUCUAUAGCUGUUGAGGUACCCGCCAUGAAGACCUGUCUGUUCUCUUUUGCAUCACUUGUAGUUCUUCUCUAAUUUUACUU